GCCCUCGGGGUGUAAUGGUCAGCACACUUGCCGCGUAUUCGAGAGACCGAGGUUCAAGUCCUGGCAAGGGCA
rnacentral:tRNA from 1 species